GCGAGUUUCCACCUCUGGGGAUGAAUAAGCCCUUUCUUUUCUGGAGAGCUGGCCAAUGAGGCACAGGCUGGGUACUGCAGGAGGGGCGGCUGAAGGAACAGCAGGCCUCGGUCUAAUUUGGAGCCGGGGAUUCAUUUUCUGCGUCAAAGAUAUCCGUUCUACUCUUUAGCAAGGCAUCUCUCUCUUCCCUUUGCACCACACACAGCCAGCUCCUGUGUAAGGAAGUCAAGAUUUUCUCAAGGGAAAAAUCACCCUAGAAACCAUCAACUCAUGACAAACGUGAUCUCCAACGUUCAUUUUGGAAAAUAGCCUCAAGGAUGAGAUGAUGAGGAUUUUGAAGAUGGCCUAGUACGUUCCUCAGGGCUGGCCUCGUCUUGUCCCUUCUGUGGUCCUCUGGGUGUCCAGCUGAGGACCUGACCUGCCCUGGAGCACAGUGGGCAUUUCCUAAAUCAAAUGGACAAAUGGAUUGACUUGUCUCUUGCUAAGAGCGCCUACCUUCGGGGUGUGGAAGUAGAGACAGGAGAGAAGCUCAGGAUGCUGCUCAGAACAACCCAUGGCUCAGACUUCCCACCUGCAAGAUGGGCAGACGGGCAGAAGAGUCCUCUCCUUGUCUGCCACCCGCAUGGCGUGCUGUGAGGAGCCUGUGAGAACCUGCCCAACACCAUGAGAAGUGCAACACCAACCUCAGGUGGAAGUCUUAAGAGAAAAGACUGAGGUCCCUCGAAGAUGAAGAAAUCCUCAUGAAGAUGAAUCCAAAGGUGGAUUCAAUUCCAGCUGUCUUUGGACUCAAGACUGCAACAUCAACACUUCCCAGGGUCUCCAGCCUGCCUGCCUCUCCCGCAAAUUUCAGAUCUGCAAGUAUCCACAGUCAUGAGCAAUUCCUUAAAGUAAAUAUUUCUCUGUUUCUUUCUGGAUAUGUAUAGGUUGUUUCUUUGGAGAAUCCUGAUUAAUACAUGAAGGGUCAAGAUAAGUCUACUCCAGGGAAGUGCAAAAAAUGAACAAGGAGGCCCAAUGAUGCAUCUGCUUAACUAUUCAGUUGUCAAUGCAAAUUAAGCACAAAGAGGACAGAGUUGAUGACAUAUCAGGAACAUUUUUUACUUCCGGAGCAGGUCUGAGUCCCAGCGGAAGACUGAGGCCGACUGAGCCAGAGGCACCACUUCAAUAGGUCACUGGUCUCUGCAGGGAAAGGAAAAGGUGUAAGAGUUCUCCCUGCAUAGAUGUUAUUUGUGACUUGGAUGUUUUCUUUCUAAUACAAAUGCAUCAAAGUGUUCACAGGAAUCUAGCUAUAUGCAAGAAGUCUGGAUUAUCUGCCUGAGAGAACUGGCCAGUAUCUCACCCAUGAGCACCAGAACCCAUUUCUAGAUUACUAAGAAAGGAGCACAAGAACACUGUGUAUGAGGCUCUGUGUUCCUAGAACUUUCUAAAUUUUACUUAAUGCAGGUUAACUUCAUCAACCCUGGUGAAAAUGCCACCUCCUCGUGAGGAAGCCUUCCCCAUUUGCUCUGUCUCAGAGACACUUGACUCCAUGGACUUCUCUGCAAUUCUGUUCUGUGUAGGACUGCCUAGUGCCUAGCCUUCUUGUGAUGUUCCUUGCUUAUGUCUUGUCUCCCCAUUUGAUUUGGAGGGUCCUGGGCAGGGACCACUGGGCUGGGCUAUAGUAGGCCCCCUGUAAAGACCUGUUGAGUAAUUAGAAGAGACAGUGGCCCCAUCUGGGUGAAUCCUGAAUUUAAUCAAUUUCCUGGAUCCUUGUUUAUCUUGCAAGUAGGAUAAGAAUGUCAUUGAAAUCCUAUCAUGUAGUCAUGGAAGGGCUAAUACAGUCAGUGUACUGCUACUCACUAAGCAUGCUGUUUAGCUCAGCGGUUUUUUGUUUUGUUUUGAUAACAAGACUGUCUUGAUGAAAGAAGCAGGGCAUUGUUUAAUAUUCUAAUGCAGGCUCCUUAUUUCACGACAUACUGGUAGUUACACUUGGAGUCGCAGUGAAAUAAAACAUCUAGGCCAGCGCCGUGGCUCACGUCUGUAAUCCCAGCACUUUCGGAGGCUGAGGCAGGUGGAUCACUUGAGGUCAGGAGUUUGAACCAGCUUGGCCAACAUGGUGAAACCCUGUCUUUACUAAAAAUACAAAAAUUAGCCUGGCGUGGUGAUGCAUGCCUGUAGUCCCAGGUACUUGCGAGGCUGAGGCAGG
rnacentral:lncRNA from 1 species